rnacentral:tRNA from 1 species
GGGGUUGUGGCUCAAGUGGAAGAGCGCUCACCUAGCACACAAGGGGCACUGAAUUCGAUCCUCAGCACCACA